UGUUUGCCUGAAGGGCCUGGGAGACGC
rnacentral:piRNA from 2 species